rnacentral:rRNA from 1 species
UCCGGUGAUUGUAGCGGAGGAGAAAUACCUGUUCCCAUUCCGAACACAGUAGUUAAGCCCUCCAGCGCCGAUGAUACUGCAUGGGAAUCUGUGUGGGAAAGUAGGUCAUCGCCGGAU